rnacentral:rRNA from 1 species
GAUGAACGCUGACAGAAUGCUUAACACAUGCAAGUCUACUUGAACUUCGGUUUGGGUGGCGGACGGGUGAGUAACGCGUAAAGAACUUGCCUCACAGAUAGGGACAACAUUUGGUAACGAAUGCUAAUACCUGAUAUUAUGAUUUUAGGGCAUCCUAGAAUUAUGAAAGCUAUAUGCACUGUGAGAGAGCUUUGCGUCCCAUUAGCUAGUUGGAGAGGUAACGGCUCACCAAGGCGAUGAUGGGUAGCCGGCCUGAGAGGGUGAUCGGCCACAAGGGGACUGAGACACGGCCCUUACUCCUACGGGAGGCAGCAGUGGGGAAUAUUGGACAAUGGACCAAGAGUCUGAUCCAGCAAUUCUGUGUGCACGAUGAAGUUUUUCGGAAUGUAAAGUGCUUUCAGUUGGGAAGAAAAAAAUGACGGUACCAACAGAAGAAGUGACGGCUAAAUACGUG